rnacentral:tRNA from 1 species
GCCGGAAUAGCUCAGCUGGGAGAGCAACAGACUGAAGCGAGCAAUUCGAAAGAUCUUCUGGAGGUCCCGUGUUCAAUCCACGGUUCUGGCA